GUGCCAGCAGCCGCGGUAAUACGGAGGGGGCUAGCGUUGUUCGGAAUUACUGGGCGUAAAGCGCACGUAGGCGGAUCGGAAAGUUGGGGGUGAAAUCCCGGGGCUCAACCCCGGAACGGCCUUCAAAACUACUGGUCUUGAGUUCGAGAGAGGUGAGUGGAAUUCCGAGUGUAGAGGUGAAAUUCGUAGAUAUUCGGAGGAACACCAGUGGCGAAGGCGGCUCACUGGCUCGAUACUGACGCUGAGGUGCGAAAGCGUGGGGAGCAAACAG
rnacentral:rRNA from 1 species